UACAGAGGGGGCAAGCGUUGUUCGGAAUUACUGGGCGUAAAGGGCGCGUAGGCGGCCUGUUAAGUCGAACGUGAAAUCCCCGGGCUCAACCCGGGAACUGCGUCCGAUACUGGCAGGCUUGAAUCCGGGAGAGGGAUGUGGAAUUCCAGGUGUAGCGGUGAAAUGCGUAGAUAUCUGGAGGAACACCGGUGGCGAAGGCGGCAUCCUGGACCGGUAUUGACGCUGGGGCGCGAAAGCCAGGGGAGCAAACGGG
rnacentral:rRNA from 1 species